UUUUAGCAUUCCUUGUGUGAUCAGAUUUGAGUUCGUAAAAAAGAGGACACUUCCUUGCGGGGGGAGAGGGGUUGUUAACCACGUUUUCCUUCGUUAUAAUUUAUAUAACAAAGGAAGAAUGAGUCAGCCUCUUCGUGGGGAAAAAAAGUGAGAGCGAUUCUAAGUUGUUUCAUUCCUUACGUAGCCAUAGUUAAAUUAGUUAUUUAUCUCUAUUAGCCAUCUAAAUUGGGAUUCAUGAAACCUAUGUGAAACCAGGUAUUUCUGAUAUCUGUGAUAUUAAUUGUAAAUCAAGAGGAAAUAAGUGCUUUUAUACGUAUUCAUUCGAUUAAAUAGUGAUAUAAGAGCAUGUUAAGUCUUUUUGAGGACUUUGGCUAACUUUUGACUGCCUGGAUUUCUGCUUUUCUUUGUUGGAAAGUUAUCGAGUAAGAAAAGAUUACAAACAACAUUUCUGUACAUCUUGGUUCUUGUAAAAAAUCUCUAUAUAUUAUAUGGAAAUACAACAAAAAAAUGACAAACCUUAGAGUUGUAAUCAUGUAAUAAACCAAGUAAGACUAGAAAAACAUGGAAGUGCGACUUAAAAAGUGUACGCUUUUUUACUGCCAUUCAGAGGACAUAUUUCAAAUAUGAAUGAUUUUACAUUUAGUUUAUAUGUUGACAGUUGUCGAUCACACUCCUGCGAUUUUUUUUCCUCCACCAUGGCUUAUACAUAUUCUGCUCUUGGAUGUAGUUCCAACACAAGUAAGGAUUCGGAAGUGAGCAUUCAUUCCUUCCCAAUAAAGGACUCAACAAUGCUGGCAAAGUGGCUAAAGACAGUGGGAUAUACAACUGUUUUUGAGUUAAGUAUGUUUAUGAUAUAUUCUGAAUGCACUCCUAGAAUCCUAGAGACACAAGUUAUUAGACGCCAUCAGCUAGUUCAAGAUUGUGUAGCAAACAUGUUACGUUCAAUGUCGCUGUAUCUGUGGAACAAGACGUGACAAAGGGAGAUCUCUUCACCUCAGACGUUUGAGAGAGGAUGGCAUUCCAUCACAAUGGCCUAAUCUUCCUACCUACCCAUCAUCAACACCAACACCCUCUAGACCAACGAGAGCCUCAACUACCAGGCAAAGACUCUAGUCCACUAGGUACAAAAUCUCCACAUGGAGAUCUCUUCUCAAACAUUGCCUUUAAGAUUUGUUUUA
rnacentral:lncRNA from 1 species